UGGGGAAUCUUGCACAAUGGGGGAAACCCUGAUGCAGCGACGCCGCGUGAGCGAUGAAGGUUUUCGAAUCGUAAAGCUCUGUCCUAUGGGAAGAUAAUGACGGUACCAUGGGAGGAAUCCCCGGCUAACUACGUGCCAGCAGCCGCGGUAAUACGUAGGGGGCGAGCGUUGUCCGGAAUUACUGGGCGUAAAGGGUUCGCAGGCGGCAUGGCAAGUCCGAUGUAUAAGGAGAAGGCUCAACCUUCGUAAGCAUCGGAAACUGUCAAGCUUGAGUGAAGGAGAGGCAAAUGGAAUUCCUAGUGUAACGGUGGAAUGCGUAGAUAUUAGGGGGAAAACCGGUGGCGAAGGAGACUUGCUGGACUUAAACUGAAGCAGAGGAAAGAAAGAGUGGGUAGCAAACAGG
rnacentral:rRNA from 1 species